GCCAGGUAUGCUGGUGCACACCUGUAAUCCCAGACACUCUGGAGGCUUAGGCAGGAGGAUUGAAAGUUCAAGGCUAGCCUCAGCAACUUAAUUAGACCCUGUCUCAA
rnacentral:sRNA from 1 species